AUGACUCCUGAAACUAAUUGGUAUAUUACAAGGAAAGAGGAUGAAUACUGGGAAGAACUCCAGCACUGAGCUGGGUAAACACUGCAUCCAGAGUGAAUAUUGUAACAGCUACAUGAGCAGAACAACCCUACACAACACCGUGGUCCGAUGGACUUCUCUGGCUGAACCACGGAGGUCUCCAGAGACCAUAAGUACCAUUUAGAUCAUACUAUCAGCAAAUGAGAAGAAAGGAGAAAGAGCUCUGCAGUGUUUUGCGUCCUCAGUUCAGUGCUGUCAUCUGGAAAUGACCAUGCUCAUGCUCACUGGUAGCAUGCCCUGUCUCCACAACAGGGAGCCAAGAAAUUCAGCUUUUUAAUUAUCCAGAAGAAAUGGACAACUGGAUAUUAGCUCUAGUCUAUACUGAAUGAAGUCAUGUACCAUGUACUGAUGAAGUGAAUAUAUGGCUUCCU
rnacentral:lncRNA from 1 species